rnacentral:rRNA from 1 species
UACCAGCACCCCGAGUGGUCGGGACGAUUAUUGGGCCUAAAGCAUCCGUAGCCGGUCCUGCAAGUCUUCCGUUAAAUCCAGCUGCUCAACAGAUGGGCUGCGGGGGAUACUACAGGGCUAGGAGGCGGGAGAGGCAAGCGGUACUUUAUGGGUAGGGGUAAAAUCCGUUGAUCCAUAGAAGACCACCAGUGGCGAAGGCGGCUUGCCAGAACGUGCUCGACGGUGAGGGAUGAAAGCUGGGG